AGGUCUGAGCUGUCAGAACAGAGCCUGAUGCGGGGCUUGAACCCACGAACUGUGAGAUCAUGACCUGAGCUGAAGUCGGAUGCUUAACUGACUGAGGCACCGAGGUGCCCCAGAAUGAAACGAGAAUUUAAAUCAAACCAUGUUUUCUCAUCACAGCAUGCUAAAAUGUCUUGUUUAUCAUAUGUGCUCAGACCUUUGUUGAUUACUAGCAAUGGGUAUAAACACAUAUAUUGUUUUAAUUCACUCACCAAUAUAAGACAUUUAAAUAAAUAAAGUGACAUAUACUUAAAUACACCACAAAACAGAAACACGCAUCCAUAGUUUGAAUCUUCCCACUUCUCUCCAUGAUCAACAUCUCAAAGAGUAGAAGUGGCAUCAGGGUGACUUCAGGAGUGACACAUCAAACUUAUUGUCCUCAGCCUACAUAUAACUAUAGAUUUUUUUUUCUGGGCUAGAAUGGGAAACCAUUCAAACCAUCCAUCCAUCUACUCACCUAUUUAUGCACUCAUACAGGGCAUCUACUAUACUGAACAACCUGUUACUUCCUACAUAUAUAACGUUGAAUAAGACACAGUCCAUGUUCUUCAAAAGCUUAUAAUUUAAUGAGAGAAACAGAAAAAGAAAUAUGGAAUUAGAACAGAAUAAAGUUUUUCAAGUUCAGCACUAAUGACAUUUUGUACGGGAUGAUUUUUUGUUGUGGAGAUCUAUGCACUGGAGGAUAGUUAGCACCAUCCCUAGCCUCUACUUACUGCAUAUUGGUAGCACCCCAAUCCUUUGUUGUAACCAUAAGUGUCUCCAGACACUUUCACAUGUCACAUGUCACUUGUCAAAUGUCCUUUGCGGGGCAAAGCACCUUUCUAUCUCCUAUGUCUUCCCCUCCCCCACACCUUAUCGAGAACUACUACAAAAGAGUAAAAGCCACCAUAAAACUUCAAAAUAUGGUCACCUACAACAGAGGUCUGGGCCAGAAAAGUUUUCUGGAGAAAGUAAAUCCUUAACAGUGGCUUGAAAUUUCAGUAAAAUGCAGCCAGAUGAAGUAAAUGACUGUAUGUGUUUUUAUAUGUAUCAAGAAGGCCUUCUAAGCAUGUGCACAGACUCAGAGUUUAUAAUGAGUACAAGACAUCUGGCAGAAUAAAGGUAGUUGAGCAUGUUUGGAAUGGGGAGGUGUGCAGUAGAGGGAGUUAUGAAAAGUUGUACAUGCCCACAGAGGAAUACAGGGGUCUAGUUGUCACAAGAUGAGACUGUAAUCAGAAAAGGCAAACAUUUGGGGGAAGAACGAAUUCAGCGUUGGAUGUAUUGAAUUUGAGUUGCCUGAGGGACAAGGAGGCGAAGGUGUCCAAUAGAAAGUUAAAUUUUCAUUUAUGGAACAAAGGGACACGACUCCGGCCAGAGAAUGAACACCAUCUGUAUCAAGAAGCUGCAUGUGUGCAUGAAAUGACCCAGGGAGAGUGUAGAGCUGAAAGGAAGAACCCAUGGGCCUGAUAGUGGCAGCGUGGACAGAGGUGAGGGAGAACAAGAGUGAUUGUGAUGUCACAGCGAGAGUUUCAUAAACACGGCAUAAAGGUCAGAUCAGAUGAGGAGUGAGACAUGGCCAAUGGAGCUGGCAAUUCGGAAGACAUGGUGGUCUUUGCAAGAGCCAUCUUACUGGAGACAGAAAGAAGACUGGUCUGCUCUCUGGAAGAACAGCAGCGGUAGCAAGGACUCAGAGAGACUUGAACAGUCUGCCAGUAGGAUUCUGGGAAACACUACUUUUACAAGAAAGUGACCUACAAGCCUCAAGAAAGUGGUAAAGAAGGAAAAGCCAAGGAUAAUAUGUGACCAGCAGCAGCAACAUGCUCUUGUUUCAGUAAUACCCAGGCUGGUGAACAAGUACAGACUGGCUAGUGACUGGCCCACAUCAGUCAAGGACACUUUAAUCUUUCUAAAGGGAUGAAAAAUAAUUGGAGAUGCUUCUCUGAAUUAUUUUGAAAUAUUUUUGUAGAAAGAAACAGAGAAAUGCACAUGGGUGAGAGGAGGCAAAAACAAUUUUAACAGAAAAAAGUCAUUGGUCUGGCUCCACGAAUUUUCAAGUAUACUACAGAGGAAAAUCUUGUAUUUGGUGACUGAGAGAUGCAUACAGAAUUAAGGGAUGGAGUAAGGGGCAUUGCAUGACCUUCCAGCACACAUAUAUACAAGUGUGCCACAUAUAUAGUGGCCUGUCACCUGGGCCAGGUCUCUUGUCUACCUACCUGAAAGAGAAAGAAGCACAGUGAAUGAAUAGAAAGAAGUAGUGAACUGGGUUCUAAUUCCAAUUUUCCUAGAUGAUGUGUUUUGGUUAGGUCACUUUGUCCGUCUUAAGUGAAAUAGGGAUGAUGAAAAGUACCAUAUUAAUUUCUCAUCAUGCUGUAGUUCCAAGUCUGUGAAGGUUAUUCUAACCUCUAGGGGGUGACACUUUUAGAUUUCCAGAUUUGGGGAAAAGGUUUCACUGGUCAGUCCUGAAAGGGGCUAUCUUACAAAUCUCACCAUUUCUGCUGAAACAUUUGUCUCCUAAUAUCUUGAAAACUUUCAGAUUCUUCCAGUGAAAUGGCAGCAAGUAGACAUGAGAUGAUUCUGUAUGGGUGAGAGAAUAUCUAGUAUACACCAGAACUUCCAGGGUGUCAUUUAGUAGAUAUGUAUUCUUAUUCUUAAUCCAACUUUGCAGCCCAAUGACUUUAUGAAGUCAAAAAUUCUCCCCCAAAUCCUUUUGGAGUAUGAUUUUUGAAGCAUAUAGAGACAGAAUCUGAGCCAAUAUAUUUUAUUUCAAAUAAGGUUCUUUUAUUUCUAAUAUGCUUUUGAAAUGUGACAUCUGUCUACCUUGUGAAAUUCUGCUCUCUCAGCUCCCUGGAGAGCUAGGAAGAGUAUUAAACAAUUGGAUCCUUGUUGCUUUCUGAAUUCCACUACUUGUGGGCCAUUUCUGCUGGAUAAGCAUGUUGUCUAUCCAUAGCAUUCUCUUAAUUCUGCUCCUCAAACUCCUAUUUUCUGCUCUCAAAGCCAAACUCUGGGAUGGAGAACACUACUCCAUGGUUAUUUGUUAUUAAAGGACUUCUAUCACAGAAAAAGGGAAGCAAUGUUGAUAAGAUAAAGUACCUAAAAAGAAGAUAAGCUGAAAAGGCAAGGAGGGAUGUCAUGCAUUUCAGAGUUGCUCAUUUAUUCUGUUUUGCCACAUCACAAUCCUUACAAUGAAAGCACUCUUCCUUCUCCAUUGGAUUUUCAUCUGUAGAGUAUUUAAUCUUACAAAGUUAAAAAAAAUCAAUAACCAGGGAAUAUUCAGUAGUUUAGAGUUUUAAUAUUUAUCACAAAAGCAGAGCAAUCACUUGUGAAGGGGUGGGGAGAGACAGAAUUAUGGGCACUUCUUUCAAAAAAAAAAAAACCAAAUAUAAUCUUCCCCAAAGUUGUAUCGAUAUUAAAAUUCACCCAAUUUCACAUGAAUCCUCAAGAGUUGUAUCGAUACUGAAUUUCACUCCACUUCACUUGAAUUUUCAAAUUUGAAAUACCAGCUGAUUCACACUACUUCCUUUCAAUUAACUUUUCUAGCCUACAAAUCCAUACAUGUUGGUGAAUACCUAAAAGCAAAUAUUAUCUAUACAGAGACAGGAAAUGAUGACAUUACUGGCAAAAGUGAUGUCAUAAACAGACAUCAAUUCCAAAGGAUACUGAGUUCUCAUGGUACUAGGGGAAAUAAAAUAAUGACUUCACAGCUGAAUAGAAUUUAAAUAAAACAUAUUUCAACAAAACUGCCAGAAAAAUGAAUCAUUCUACAUUAACAGGCUACAUCAGCAACUAGAUAUGUUAAAAGUUUAAUUUAGCAGAGGACUGCCUCUGACCAAAAAGAGUUUCAUUUAGAUUUUAUCUGUCUUUUUAACUUAAGUUUAUUCAUUUUUGGUAAUCUCUACACCCAAUGUGGGGCUCACCCGGAGAUCAAAAGUUGCAUGCUCUUCUGACUGAGCCAGCCAGAUGCCCCGUAGAUUUCAUCUGGUUUUGAUUUAUGUCAAUAAGUAUGGUUACUGGCUUAAAGGAAACCUGAAAUUUAUCUUUCUCUUUAUGGACAAUAUUAACAUAUUUCCUAGAGAAACUUCUGUAUUUUAUGGGUAACAAUACUUUUAUCUCCCAAAUUUAAAUUUUUUUCUAUGAUAAUUUUAAGAAAGUAACUGACAGAAAGGUACAACACAAAGAAUUAUAGCUAGUAAUUGGCAUCCACUUAUAAUGUACUAGGCAAGGUGUAGAAGGUUUUAUGUACAUUAUUUUGAUUAAUACUUAUGAUACACAACGUUGACGUUAUAGAAAUGUGGACACAAUGAUCCCCAGGUAAACUAAAGACAAAAAGAAUGAGGCCUAAAGAGGUUAAGUGAUCUGCCAAGGGUGACAAAACAAAUAAGAGAGGAGGUGGAAUUCAAAUUUAAGUACCUCUCGUUCUUAAGUCUUUCUCCUUUAUUUACUCUUAUAAUUAAAGAGUAAAAGGUACAACAAGUGAGCAUAUUUGACUUAUUAGAACAUAAAUACUGUUUUUCAGUGUAAGUAUUAAGUUGGAAGUAUGUUACUUCAUACUGAAAAUAUUUAGCACAAAUUCAGUAGAAUUCGUACUCAACAGGCUUAACCGAGUCCUUUAAAAUUCUCAUCUACAGCAGCAUUUCUCAACUUUUUUCAUCAUCUUCCCCCACCCCCCAAGGGGUCUUCUUGACACUUUUUUUCUUAAUCACCCUACCCACAAAAAUUUAAUACCACAGAUAUACCACAUACUAUAUGUAUAUCUGUACAUACAGACUAUAUGUAGAUCUGUGCUUUAUACAUAAGAAGAGUUAAGAUUUUUUUUUCCCCUAGCAUGCAUUUUUGCCCCUUGGAGGGUAAUGAGGAUGUAUAAUCUAAAAGAUGUAUCUGUUUUUCUUUGUUGCUCCAAAACCUUCCAACCCACUGGCUAUUACUUCAAAUUGCACGGAGUUAGGAUCUUAGACUUUUAGCUUAAAGUUUUUCUGUAUGUUAAAAUAUGAAUACAUAGAAAAUAUUGGUGAAGCACCAAAACCCAUGUACAUUUUAGUGUGAAUAGAAGAUGGAAAAACCAGUUUGAUGGGGGAAAAUGAGAAGAAUGUGAGAGCACUCCCUACUGGAGCAGAUGAAGGAGAACAGAGAGGCUCUGGGUCGGAAUGCCUGUGGCACAAUUGUGCUUCAGUCUAGUCCCGUUGAACACAUUAACAUGAAGUAAGCAUUUGAAAAUGCCAGCUCCCAUUCAUGAUGAACAAGAAAUCUUAGUCACAAGCCACCUUAGUGACCAUCACCCUAUUGAUUAAUGUGUAAAUACUGGGUUUCCUGCCUGUGAAGAUUUGCUGUUUGGUUCCUUUCAGGUCUGUUUGUAUAUUCCCAAUUGCUAUGUGGCCAAGAACAAGUAAGUUUAUGUAAUGUUCCAAAGAAACAGCUUGACACCGUGGCUCAUUUUAACCCAGAUAGUGUGAGCCUUCACAAACUCUUCCUUGUAUCCUAUGCCUGCUGGAGUACUGGACAGACUCCACUCACUCACUGUGCACCUCGGUGGAAACUAACAAACAAUACAGUCACUGUCAGUAGAUGUUGCCUCCUCAGCGUACAGAGCCAAAAAAAAUUAUGGAAAAGUAGGUUACUUCACUGGGGUUGGAGAUGUAAAUUCUGAAUUGAU